UGCAAUAAACAUGGGAGUGCAGCUGUCUC
rnacentral:piRNA from 1 species